AUCGAACGCUGGCGGCAUGCCUUACACAUGCAAGUCGAACGGCAGCACGGGUGCUUGCACCUGGUGGCGAGUGGCGAACGGGUGAGUAAUACAUCGGAACGUACCUUAUCGUGGGGGAUAACGCAGCGAAAGCUGUGCUAAUACCGCAUACGCCCUGAGGGGGAAAGCGGGGGAUCGCAAGACCUCGCGCGAUUAGAGCGGCCGAUGCCUGAUUAGCUUGUUGGUGGGGUAAAAGCCCACCAAGGCGACGAUCAGUGGCUGGUCUGAGAGGACGAUCAGCCACACGGGGACUGAGACACGGCCCAGACUCCUACGGGAGGCAGCAGGGGGGAAUUUUGGACAAUGGGGGCAACCCUGAUCCAGCAAUGCCGCGUGAGUGAAGAAGGCCUUCGGGUUGUAAAGCUCUUUUGUCAGGGAAGAAACACCGGCUCUAACACAGUCCGGGAAUGACGGUACCUGAAGAAUAAGCACCGGCUAACUACGUGCCAGCAGCCGCGGUAA
rnacentral:rRNA from 1 species